ensembl:lncRNA
UUUGAGACAGUAAGUCAGCAUAUUGAGAACUUUAAUAAGGAAUUGCAGACAGACAGGCAGGCUUACAGUGGCAUGACUAUUGGUAUCCAGUAGUUUGUCAUGCUGUUAGGAGGAGAUGGAAAGCUCAGCAUAUUCCCUGACUGGAACAAAACAUGGUUAACAAAAAACGUUCCAGAUUCCAAACGUUGACCUGCUACUGCUGAUGACAGUAAUCAGUGUGCAGAUUAAAAUCAUGGACCAAUCAGACAGGCAAGCAGCUCUAGCUCCACCCUCCCUACACGUCCCUCUGCCUUAGUGUGUCUGUCCCAAAAUGGCACCCUAUUGCGUAUAUAGUGCACUGCCUCCCAAAUGGCACCCUAUUCCCUAUAUUGUGCACUACUUUUGACCAGGGCCGAUAGGUCCACAUUUUGACCAGACUUGCCCAGAUAAUGAGUCAUGGAGGCAAUUAUGUGCAUCCCAAAUAGCACCCUAUUCCCUAUAUAGUGCACUACAGGACCUCGAUCUACAUCUCCUGUUCUUCUGUCUGCUGGACGUCUCAGGGUGGAGGUGGUGACACCACGCUGCUGUCCUCAGGGUGGAGGUGGUGACACCACGCUGCUGUCCUCAGGGUGGAGGUGGUGACACCACGCUGCUAUCGUCAGGGUGGAGGUGGUGACACCACGCUGCUGUCCUCAGGGUGGAGGGUCAGGGUGGAGGUGGUGACACCACGCUGCUGUCCUCAGGGUGUGAGGGUCAGGGUGGAGGUGGUGACACCAUGCUGCUGUCCCCAGGGUGUGAGGGUCAGGGUCAGGGUGGAGGUGGUGACACCAUGCUGCUGUCCCCAGGGUGUGAGGGUCAGGGUCAGGGUGGAGGGAGAGCCCUGCCUCCUGGGGCUCCCCACCCUUUCAUGUGCUCAUCACUCUGACGUGGAAACUAGUGCUGCUGCAGACAAGGAGUCAAAUAUCAUGUCAAAUGGGAUCGCACUGCAAAAAGGCCAAAGGGCGGCUUUAGGGAGUGUGUGCAUGCAUGCUCACGACUGGGUGACUGCACGAUUCUGUGUGUACGUGCGCU